AACGAACGCUGGCGGCAUGCCUAACACAUGCCAGUCGAACGAAGGCUUCGGCCUUAGUGGCGCACGGGUGCGUAACGCGUGGGAAUCUGCCCUUUGGUUCGGAAUAACAGCUGGAAACGGCUGCUAAUACCGGAUGAUGACGAAAGUCCAAAGAUUUAUCGCCAGAGGAUGAGCCCGCGUUGGAUUAGGUAGUUGGUGGGGUAAAGGCCUACCAAGCCGACGAUCCAUAGCUGGUCUGAGAGGAUGAUCAGCCACACUGGGACUGAGACACGGCCCAGACUCCUACGGGAGGCAGCAGUGGGGAAUAUUGGACAAGGGGCGCAAGCCUGAUCCAGCAAUGCCGCGUGAGUGAUGAAGGCCCUAGGGUUGUAAAGCUCUUUUACCCGGGAAGAUAAUGACUGUACCGGGAGAAUAAGCCCCGGCUAACUCCGUG
rnacentral:rRNA from 1 species